rnacentral:rRNA from 1 species
UACGGAGGGGGUUAGCGUUGUUCGGAAUUACUAGGCGUAAAGCGCGCGUAGGCGGAUUAGAAAGUUGGGGGUGAAAUCCCGGGGCUCAACCCCGGAACUGCCUCCAAAACUACUAGUCUAGAGUUCGAGAGAGGUGAGUGGAAUUCCGAGUGUAGAGGUGAAAUUCGUAGAUAUUCGGAGGAACACCAGUGGCGAAGGCGGCUCACUGGCUCGAUACUGACGCUGAGGUGCGAAAGUGUGGGGAGCAAACAGC